AACGAACGCUGGCGGCAUGCCUAACACAUGCAAGUCGAACGAGACCUUCGGGUCUAGUGGCGCACGGGUGCGUAACGCGUGGGAACCUGCCCUUAGGUUCGGAAUAACUCCCCGAAAGGGGUGCUAAUACCGGAUAAUGUCUUCGGACCAAAGAUUUAUCGCCUUUGGAUGGGCCCGCGUUGGAUUAGCUAGUUGGUAGGGUAAAAGCCUACCAAGGCGACGAUCCAUAGCUGGUCUGAGAGGAUGAUCAGCCACACUGGGACUGAGACACGGCCCAGACUCCUACGGGAGGCAGCAGUGGGGAAUAUUGGACAAUGGGCGAAAGCCUUAUCCAGCAAUGCCGCGUGAGUGAUGAAGGCCUUAGGGUUGUAAAGCUCUUUUACCCGGGAUGAUAAUGACAGUACCGGGAGAAUAAGCUCCGGCUAACUCCGUG
rnacentral:rRNA from 1 species